rnacentral:rRNA from 1 species
AUUGAACGCUGGCGGCAUGCCUUACACAUGCAAGUCGAACGGCAGCAUGGAGAGCUUGCUCUCUGAUGGCGAGUGGCGAACGGGUGAGUAAAGCAUCGGAACGUACCGUGUAGUGGGGGAUAACGUAGCGAAAGUUACGCUAAUACCGCAUACGCACUGAGGUGGAAAGCAGGGGAUCGUAAGACCUUGCGCUAUACGAGCGGCCGAUGUCAGAUUAGCUAGUUGGUAGGGUAAAGGCCUACCAAGGCGACGAUCUGUAGCGGGUCUGAGAGGAUGAUCCGCCACACUGGGACUGAGACACGGCCCAGACUCCUACGGGAGGCAGCAGUGGGGAACUUUGGACAAUGGGGGCAACCCUGAUCCAGCCAUGCCGCGUGAGUGAAGAAGGCCUUCGGGUUGUAAAGCUCUUUCGGCCGGGAAGAAAUCGCACAGGCUAAUACCCUGUGUGGAUGACGGUACCGGCAUAAGAAGCACCGGCUAACUACGUGCCAGCAGCCGCCGCAG